rnacentral:sRNA from 1 species
UGAAAUCAACAAGUAUGUACUUUCAUUUAUGUUG